rnacentral:rRNA from 1 species
GAUGAACGCUGGCGGCGUGCCUAAUACAUGCAAGUCGAGCGAACGGACGAGAAGCUUGCUUCUCUGAUGUUAGCGGCGGACGGGUGAGUAACACGUGGAUAACCUACCUAUAAGACUGGGAUAACUUCGGGAAACCGUAGCUAAUACCGGAUAAUAUUUUGAACCGCAUGGUUCAAAAGUGAAAGACGGUCUUGCUGUCACUUAUAGAUGGAUCCGCGCUGCAUUAGCUAGUUGGUAAGGUAACGGCUUACCAAGGCAACGAUGCAUAGCCGACCUGAGAGGGUGAUCGGCCACACUGGAACUGAGACACGGUCCAGACUCCUACGGGAGGCAGCAGUAGGGAAUCUUCCGCAAUGGGCGAAAGCCUGACGGAGCAACGCCGCGUGAGUGAUGAAGGUCUUCGGAUCGUANAACUCUGUUAUUAGGGAAGAACAUAUGUGUAAGUAACUGUGCACAUCUUGACGGUACCUAAUCAGAAAGCCACGGCUAACUACGUGCCAGCAGCCGCGGUAAUACGUAGGUGGGCAGCGUUAUCCGGAAUUAUUGGGCGUAAAGCGCGCGUAGGCGGUUUUUUAGUCUGAUGUGAAAGCCCACGGCUCAACCGUGGAGGGUCAUUGGAAACUGGAAAACUUGAGUGCAGAAGAGGAAAGUGGAAUUCCAUGUGUAGCGGUGAAAUGCGCAGAGAUAUGGAGGAACACCAGUGGCGAAGGCGACUUUCUGGUCUGUAACUGACGCUGAUGUGCGAAAGCGUGGGGAUCAAACAGGAUUAGAUACCCUGGUAGUCCACGCCGUAAACGAUGAGUGCUAAGUGUUAGGGGGUUUCCGCCCCUUAGUGCUGCAGCUAACGCAUUAAGCACUCCGCCUGGGGAGUACGACCGCAAGGUUGAAACUCAAAGGAAUUGACGGGGACCCGCACAAGCGGUGGAGCAUGUGGUUUAAUUCGAAGCAACGCGAAGAACCUUACCAAAUCUUGACAUCCUUUGACAACUCUAGAGAUAGAGCCUUCCCCUUCGGGGGACAAAGUGACAGGUGGUGCAUGGUUGUCGUCAGCUCGUGUCGUGAGAUGUUGGGUUAAGUCCCGCAACGAGCGCAACCCUUAAGCUUAGUUGCCAUCAUUAAGUUGGGCACUCUAAGUUGACUGCCGGUGACAAACCGGGGGAAGGUGGGGAUGACGUCAAAUCAUCAUGCCCCUUAUGAUUUGGGCUACACACGUGCUACAAUGGACAAUACAAAGGGCAGCGAAACCGCGAGGUCAAGCAAAUCCCAUAAAGUUGUUCUCAGUUCGGAUUGUAGUCUGCAACUCGACUACAUGAAGCUGGAAUCGCUAGUAAUCGUAGAUCAGCAUGCUACGGUGAAUACGUUCCCGGGUCU